ACAGGAUUCACAAACAUUAACUUUAUGCUUAAAUCUAUAUGCGAUACAUUAUGCAUAUAAUUAUAAUUCACGAUAAUAUCGCAUAUGGAAGUAACUGGAAUAAAUUUGGACUAUUUCCUUCGGAAGUUUACAGGACUGUCCUGUCAAAAGACCUCCCUCGUGUUUACAUAUUUUGACAGGUCGAGUUGUUCUGGGACUAGGAACAAUGAUGAAUGAAUACCUGCACCAUGGAAACAAUGUCAUUUGCAAACUUUUUGAACCUGUACUGGGCGUUCACAUUGACAUUUCUUGUUCAACAGGAAUACAUGAUGUCGACCAACAGUACAGCUAGGAUCUUCAUAUAUGUGUAUACACGCAAAAAUGUCCCUUGUAAGUAUUCUUUAAAUAAAAUGGGUUUUUACUUUAUUUCCCUCUAAAUGGAAGUUACAAUGGUUACAAAAGCAGCUUUCAGCUUCACAUAUUAAGC
rnacentral:lncRNA from 1 species